rnacentral:rRNA from 1 species
UUUUAUUUUCCACCUGUCCUACCUUCUUCUCUCUCAGGCCUAUUAUUUCUCCCAUCUCCUUGCAGCGACUCAAAAAAAUCCCCUUGCAGCCGCCACCGUAAGCCCCCGCCGCCAGCCCACAACGGAGUCCCGGUCGUCGGCUCUCCGGUGCUCUCCGCCUCCCUAGAAGGUCGUAUCUCGCCGCCGUCCCGAACUCGCCGGCUCUCUCCACCCCUGAGGUCUCAUAUCUCCCAAGGAUCCUCUCCAACCCGGAGUUCCUCGCGGAGGGCACCGACUGACACCGGCCUGCGGAGGCGAGGCAGGCCGCCCCUCCUCCGACCAUCCAACCAUAGCAGCGUUGCUCCUCCGACGAGCGGAGGGGCUCUCCUCUCCCAUCGGCCAGCGCCUCGACUCCGACUCCUACAGAUCGCGCCGGCCAACAUCCUCUGUCGCCUAAUCUUAACCACACCGUGUUCCUUCGGACAUCGUCGUGAACCUCCAAGCAGAUAAGCCAACCUUCAUGUGUAUCUCCCGUUAUAUCUCUACUCUAUUCUUCUCUGCUCUGUUUUUCAGGAAGAAGCUGGAUUGGUGGCCGUUUCCGGUUUCCAGCAUGCAGAUGGGUAUGCCAACGGGCAACGGCUGUUCCUUGGUUGAACUAUGCAAUGCAUCUCGCUGAAUUCCAAGCUGUACUAUUUUGGGUCUGCAUACAUACCCAAGCAGGGGAGAUAAAAGCUGCAAGUUGGGUAGAAAGCUUGCAUGAUUCUCGAUAGCAGUUUACAUACAUGCCUGAAUAUGUUCAAGAUGCAUUGCAUUGCGGCACCAUCAACGGUUCAGUCGACUGUCAAACACACAGACGCAUCGGACAUCGAAAGCGAAGGGCACCCAACUCUCAAGGGUGCAAGCAGAAAAAGAAGAAGCCAUUGGAAUAAUCUGAUCCUUUUCAGGGGCUAAUUGAGACCAGAAGAGGAAACAUCCAUUUCUGUACAUCAAGAAGCAUAGCAGAAAAAUUCAAUGUGUGCCCAUUGUUGCCUCUGAUCUCUCUAUGUUCUUCACCGCCCCAUUGCCCAGCCACAUUCAUAGUGAAAAGAACCAUGUCUUUACAAAACAAACAUACAAGGUGGACCUGCUUUACUACCUGUUUUAUGAUGAUUAGUCCAUCUGAUCAACCGAGGAUCGACAUCUCUGUUUCUGUUUAUGGUGGGCAAGGAGGAGGAGCGAUCUCUCUACCGUGGGCACCCACUGCAGCUACUGCCGAAGUAUGAGCAAUCCCCGAUGCCAAGAUCAUAGAGCAAUCUCUUACAAUUUUGCGCUUUUGGCCGUGCGUCCUCUCUUCGGCUCUGAGGCCGAUUUCGCUACUCUCCCACUGAGGUUCUCAGUUCAUGGAAUCAUUGUUUGGAUCUUCUUCCCGGUGCCAAAAUAUGUUGAUACGCCCUCUGUACAAGAAUCUGCGAGGUGUUUUCCUGUAGUCUGCCCAUUUUGCCCAGUGCAAGUUCUGUUUGAAAUUUCUUAUCGGUGCUUAACCAAUAUAUGUAGCCUGAUAGUUUAUUGAACAUUUAUUCCAUCUUAUUCUGUCCCUAAAACAGUUUUUUGUGAAAAAAAUAUUUUUACAGGACUGAUAGAUAAAUUGGUGUUGUAGCCUAGAAGCAGAAACAUAUCCCAUAACAAACAUUUACUUUUUUUCUUAAGAAUAUUGCAACUGUCAUCUGGAUUGUGACAAAUUUAUCUGAGUUGAUCUUCUCAAACUUGAUUGCCUUUUUCGGGAGAAUAAAAGGGCACUCUUUACGCCAUCCUUGAUUUCAUCAUAUAUGUCUAGGUGUCGUCCUUCUACCACUCUACAACCACCAGCACUCAAAUUUCCCAUCUAUAGAUGUGUGUACUCCAUGUGUUUGAUGGGAUGUACAAGAGAAAAAUCAUAGACCCACUGGCAGGGGCCUUAUCUUUUGUUGAGUAGGGGUGCAUGCUUCAGACUAAAACUUGGUGGGUUUCAUUGAUAAUCAUAUAGUAUCACGAUCACAAUUCUUCUGAUGUAAUUCAGGUACAUAUCUUGACUGAGUUACCUUUCUUAGAUUACGGCAUCUUGCACUCCUAUUCUUUAAAGGAUUUGGUCUUCCCAACAUUACACGGUGUACAUGCAUGUUCUUCAUGCAAAUUAUGAGUUCAUACCUGUAAAAUUAACAUAUUGUACGCUUCCAACUAAGUACUGACUACCCUUUUUUUUUAUUCUCCAUAUCAUAUACCGAGUGGAGGAAUUACGUUGGAGUGGUGGUGGCGUUCUAAUGGAUGUUUCCUCACCUGAAAUAAUAUGAAAUAAAUCACGUUUGUGCUUUGUUUGAUGUUUUCCUGGUCUGCUCACAUGCUUAUGUAAUAGUUCCCUCGGAUUGUAGGAACGAGCUUCAUAUAGAUAGGCAGAAAUAUGUUUAUGAUCAAUCAAAGACAAUAGGAACAUCUACUAAAAACUUUAUGAGUGUGUAUCAUAUGAAUUACUUUGAUUGCAAGUCCAACGAUCUUAUUAUUAACUAAGUUUGGAAACAUAUGCGCCGUUAGUUUUUAUCUCUAGCUCUUGCCUUCUGUACGUACUGA